rnacentral:rRNA from 1 species
GGUCAAGUGAAUAAGCGCAUACGGUGAAUGCCUAGGCGGUAAGAGGCGAUGAAGGACGUUGUAGCAUGCGAUAAGCCACGGUUAGUUUGCAAACUAACUUUGAUCCGUGGAUUUCCGAAUGGGGAAACCCGGCCAGGACAACCUGGUCAUCAAUGACUGAAUACAUAGGUCAUUAGAAGCGAACCCGGAGAACUGAAACAUCUAAGUACCCGGAGGAAAAGAAAUCAACCGAGAUUCCCUUAGUAGCGGCGAGCGAACGGGGAUUAGCCCUUAAGCAUUAAUUAAGUUAGUAGAACACUCUGGAAAGUGUGGCCAUAGACGGUGAUAGCCCGGUAUACGAAAACUUUUUUAGUGUGAAAUCGAGUAGGUCGGAGCACGUGAAACUCUGACUGAACAUGGGGGGACCAUCCUCCAAGGCUAAAUACUCCUUACCGACCGAUAGUGAACCAGUACCGUGAGGGAAAGGCGAAAAGAACCCCUGUUAGGGGAGUGAAAUAGAACCUGAAACCGUGUGCGUACAAGCAGUGGGAGCCUGGCUUCGGCCGGGUGACUGCGUACCUUUUGUAUAAUGGGUCAGCGACUUACAUCUCAGUGGCAAGCUUAACCGUAUAGGGGAGGCGUAGCGAAAGCGAGUCUUAAUAGGGCGUCUUAGUCGCUGGGAGUAGACCCGAAACCGGACGAUCUAGCCAUGGCCAGGUUGAAGGUCGGGUAAUACCGACUGGAGGACCGAACCAACUGACGUUGAAAAGUCAGUGGAUGAGCUGUGGCUAGGAGUGAAAGGCUAAACAAGUCCGGAGAUAGCU